rnacentral:lncRNA from 1 species
ACCCUCGGGGCACAGUUCGAGUGAGAACAGAUGCAGCAGAAUGGCUGACAACACAAGCCAGUGGUCAGAGGACAAGGGUCAGUGUGGUGCCAGAAGGGAGAGGAGCCAAGAGCCUGAGUGGCCGUGCCAGGGGACGGAAGAGAGAGGCCCGAGCUGGAGGGGGGCUUGCUUCCCUGUGAUGUGCAAGAGGAGGGCGCUGUGAGAAGAAAGGGGAACGCGUGUCGUGCGGUGGGCCGCGGGGGCCCCCCCGGAAGCAGACGCACAGGAGGACAGAGCCGGCCCCCUCUCUUCCACAUCCCCCGGCACCGGUCUCAGAGCUCGGGACGUGCAAGGCAUUUCUUUCACCGACUGGCCAGAGUUAAAAAGGCACAGGUGACUCCUACCUCUCCUAUUUCCGGAAUGUUCCUCUGGAAGUUCUCAAACACUGGUGCAUCCUAGAAGGGAGACUUCUCUUCUUCCCUUCCCCUCCCCCCACUCCCUACCAAGCCUCCCUCUUCUGCUCCCAGCUCUGACUCCCUGUUGUUACACCAGAGCCCCCGGCCCCUAGGACUGGGAUGCCACAGGAACAGAUAGACCUCAGGGAAGCAGUGCCUACUUCCCGAAGGCUUUGUGCACAUCUUGGCCCGGCAACGCCCUUCGGUUGUCAUUUAAGGCUGUUUCCUGCCCGUCAGGUCACAGAUGUUCCCAAAACUCUGGCUGCACUUGCCCCCAGACCUCCUAGCAGGGACCAGUUGUGCUGAAUGUCUCAGAGAUUUGCCUUCAGACUCAAAAUGCCAUGCGGCAUACAGAAAGCCUUUCUCUGGAUCUGUGCCACAGCCUCCAUCAGCUGCUCCAACACAGCUGUCUUCAGUCUCUGGUCCCUCGGUCAGGGGUUGGGAGGACACAGCCACACUCAGCCACACAGGUGCAGGCAUAGAGGAAGCAGAAGUUAAAAUGCAUGGCUUUUGGACAACCCAGGGUUUGGGCCUGACCGAGCGGAUGAAGUCUCUUCAAUGUUCCCACUGAUCUUGGCCUCACUGACAAAGAAGCCUAUGCCGUCACUGCCAGCCCCCACCAUGUUCAGCACUCAAAAGAAGGAUUCUCCUGAACACCCUGGUCACCUACGUGAGAAAUGGAAACCGCAAGUGGCUUUCUGGAGAAAUUCCAAGCAGUCAACCUCAGGGAAUACUCACCAAGCCCUCUGGGAGGGGUUCUCGACCUGGCUGGGAGCCAGGAGAAAGAGUGAAGCCAAGAGGGCUGAGGGCCCAGAAGUGGUGCAGGUGAGGGGUGUCCGCACCUGGCUCCGGGCUCCUGCUGAGGUGCUGGGCAGGAGCAGGCCUCAGCUGCUAGGGCCAGGCCCAGGGAUGCUUGAGAGAGCUGGUGGCCUGGCUGUGGCUGGUGAGAAAGGAGCCACUGCACAUGUGAGGGCUGAGAGUAGAGCACACCCUGCCUAG